GGAGGAGGCAAGCGUUGUUCGGAAUCACUGGGCUUAAAGCGUGUGUAGGCGGAAUGGGAGGGUGUCACAGUGAAAGCCCUCGGGCUCAACCGAGGAAUUGCUGGGCAAACCGUCAUUCUUGAGGCCAGCAGGGGUAUCCGGAACUUUGGGUGGAGCGGUGAAAUGCGUAGAUAUCCAAGGGAACGCCGAUGGCGAAAGCGGGAUACUGGGCUGGUUCUGACGCUGAGACACGAAAGCGUGGGUAGCAAACAGGAUUAGAUACCCUGGUAGUCCACGCCGUAAACGAUGCGCACUAGGUAUCAGGACCUCUGACGGGUAUUGGUGCCGUAGCAAAAGCGCUAAGUGCGCCGCCUGGGGAGUACGGCCGCAAGGCUA
rnacentral:rRNA from 1 species